GAGAGCUUGCUCUCGGGUGACGAGUGGCGGACGGGUGAGUAAUGUCUGGGAAACUGCCUGAUGGAGGGGGAUAACUACUGGAAACGGUAGCUAAUACCGCAUAACGUCGCAAGACCAAAGAGGGGGACCUUCGGGCCUCUUGCCAUCAGAUGUGCCCAGAUGGGAUUAGCUAGUAGGUGGGGUAACGGCUCACCUAGGCGACGAUCCCUAGCUGGUCUGAGAGGAUGACCAGCCACACUGGAACUGAGACACGGUCCAGACUCCUACGGGAGGCAGCAGUGGGGAAUAUUGCACAAUGGGCGCAAGCCUGAUGCAGCCAUGCCGCGUGUAUGAAGAAGGCCUUCGGGUUGUAAAGUACUUUCAGCGGGGAGGAAGGUGUUGUGGUUAAUAACCGCAGCAAUUGACGUUACCCGCAGAAGAAGCACCGGCUAACUCCGUGCCAGCAGCCGCGGUAAUACGGAGGGUGCAAGCGUUAAUCGGAAUUACUGGGCGUAAAGCGCACGCAGGCGGUCUGUCAAGUCGGAUGUGAAAUCCCCGGGCUCAACCUGGGAACUGCAUUCGAAACUGGCAGGCUAGAGUCUUGUAGAGGGGGGUAGAAUUCCAGGUGUAGCGGUGAAAUGCGUAGAGAUCUGGAGGAAUACCGGUGGCGAAGGCGGCCCCCUGGACAAAGACUGACGCUCAG
rnacentral:rRNA from 1 species